GCCAGUGAUGCUAUGCCCAACAUCUGGAGGUGCAGAUGGCUCCAGGAUCCUGUUUACAGGACGAACCUACCUGGAGUCCCUGUAUUCACAUGACAUCCACGCGCAAGUCUGAGGU
rfam:Triticum aestivum genome assembly, contig: Triticum_aestivum_CS42_TGACv1_scaffold_342769_4DL